GGGUCCAGUAGCUGGAAGAGCACCGCACGUUGCGUGGUGUCCGGUGCACUCCUCGAGGCCCUUUAAAAUUAGAAGGAUCGAAUGUCAUCCAUGCCCGGUCAUACUCAUAACAGAAUAAGGUCUCCACGGUGAACUACCUCUAGUAGAUGGAACAAUGUAGGAAAGGGAAGUCGACACGGGGGUCCCACUCCCUAACCCAUCGGCUGUCGAUGGACUGCUCGAGCUUUUCCUACAGCGAGAACGAGUCACCACGUGCUGGCCGGGGGACGAACUGGGAAUGGUUCCUUCUGGUGCCUUCCCAGGGCAUCGAAAAGCCAACUCAAUACUAGUAAGUAACAGGGGAAUUCUACUGUUUAAUUAAAACAAAGCAUUGGGAAUGUCCCAACGGAUGUUUACUCAAUGUGAUUUCUGCCCAGUCUUUGAAUGUUUAGGUGAAGAAAUUUAACCAAGCACGGGUAAAUGGCGAGAGUAACUAUGAAUGUCUUAAGGUAUCCAAAUGUCUCGUUAUCUAAUUAGUGACACACAUGAAUGGAAUAACGAGAUUCCCAUUGUUCCUGUCUACUAUGCAGCAAAACCAUAGCCAAGGGAACAAUCUUGGCAGAAUCAGCGGAGAAAGAAGACCCAGUUGAGCUUAAUUCUACUCCGACUUUGUGAAAUGACUUGAGAGGUGUAGUAUAAGUGGGAGCUGAAAGGCAGAAGUGAAAUACCACUACUUUUAAUAGUAUUUUACUUAUUCCGUGAAUCAGAAGUAGGGCACUUUCCCUCUUUUUGGACCCAAGGCUCGCUUUGCGGGCCAAUCUGGGCGGAAGACAUUGUCAGGUGAGGAUUUUGGCUGUUGCGGCACAUCUUGUUUAAGAUAACGUAAGUCUUAUAAGAUGAGAUCAAUGAGAACAAAGAUCUCGUGUGGGACAGAAGGUUAAAAUCUAAUCUGAUUCGGAUUUCCAUUACGAAUAAGAACCGUGAAAGCAAGGCCUUACGAUCCUUUAGACCGUUGGAUUUCGAUGCUAGCGCGGGGAUAACUGUCCUGUGGCAGCCAAGCGUUCAUAGCGACGUUGCUUUUUGAUCCUUCGAUGUCCGCUCUUCCAAUCAUUGUGAACCAAAAUUCAUCAAGUGUUGGAUUGUUCACCCACCAAUAGGGAACGUGAGCUGGGUUUAGACCGUCUUGACACAGGUUAGUUUACCCUAAUGAUGAUAUUGUCGCAAUAGUAAGUCAACCUAGUACGAGAGGAAUUGUUGAUUCACAAAAUUGGCCAUUGCUCAUGGUUGAAAAGACAGUGGCGCGAACCUACCAUGUGCUAGAUUAUGAGUGAAUGCCUCUAAGUAAUAAUUUGAACUCAAAAGUGAACCAUGCGCCCCCUCUACGCUUGCCUAACCGCAGUGGGGGCCUUUAACCCCCAAGGGUCCGUGU
rnacentral:rRNA from 1 species